CUUAGCACAUCAGCAGCAUAGACUUGGACGGCAGGCAAGGCGGAUGAGCCUUAGUGGAAAAUUACCUGCCCUUUGGUCUCUGAGUGUGUGAUCAGAGUUGGACAGGUAGGUGGGUUGUUUAUUUAGCAUAGCAUAAAAAGAUUUUGGGUCUGAUGAAGGUUCUGUGGGCUGCUAAAGAUCCAGCCUUCAUUUAAAAGUCCAUGAUUGGCAAGGAAUCAAUCACUUAGGAAUGUCAGGUAAACUCCUAAGAACUUGGAGCCUGAUUUUAUUUCCAUCUCAGACAGUCGGAUUAAUGCAGCAGUCAUGGCAGCCAGAGUGGAUAAUUGUGUGUUCAGUAAGAGUCCACCCUAAGAGGCUGCUAUGAGCUGAGUGGUUUACGGAUAAAUGCUAUGAUUGAAGGACAGGAGGAAAUGCUACUUACAUAAUGUAUGCCUUUCAGAGAAAAACCACCUGCGAAGGGUGGAGUCCAUAUGAAAACCCCAAAUUAUAGCACAGGUGAAGGAAAAUAAUCCAGCAGGUUUGGAGUAUUGGAAAAUGUACUUCUCUGCCUUCCCUUUCAAAGCCAUCUUCUUGGUCCUUUGUAAUGUAGCCUCCCAACACCACUGAAAUGCUUUAUGGGUGCCCAGACGCUUUCUGAAAUCUUACCUUCAGGUUUUUGGAGUAUAAAGAAUCUUUUUCUCCCCAGCUUCCUUCUUUUAAAACAUACCGGUCCUAUGUAUAAUUCUCUCAUACAUCUAUUUUCUAUGAUCUGAAUUCUGAGAGAUGCUCUGAUAAUAUGGCGCUGUCUCUGGAAUUCACCCAUUGUUGGUGGGUCAUAGAAUAUAAUACUGAGCUCCAGCUUGGUAUGGAAAUUGAGCUGCCUCCCUGCCAUCCCAUUUCUUUCCUGAAGAGAAAGGUUAUAAUGCAGAUACUUCCUGGGAAAGAGAACUGAUUAUUUUGGCUAUUUGUGAUGUGGUUUGUUGCCCAUUCUAGAAUAGAUAGUUGUUGUUGUAGGUUUAUUUUUAAUGUUUUUGUUAUUGUUCCUGCACACCUGAGUUUCAUAUCCAGUACAUUUAUAAACAGGAUGUUGCUUACAGGUUUAUUUUUCAAUACCUAAGAAAAUGAUACUAAAACCAAGGCUCAUAAAGUUAUGUGAGUUUCCCAGGAUCACACAGUCUUGGGGAUUUAGUAUGAGCACUUAAUUCACAGAAAUGAAUAGCUCCUUGUGGGCUGCCAGGCAGUGGGAUGCAUGAAAGGCGAUUGCAACAGCUGGGGGCCCUUUCUGUUAAACCUUAAAUCACAUAAACAUGCAAUCACUGAUCUGUGCCUCAGUAGACUUGCUCUAUUGGUCAUUACAAAGCGGCAUUGCACUAAUAGAAAACUAGAAUGCACUAAUAGAAAACUAGAAUGCAUUUACUGCAGUAUGCAGUGUUCCUUAAUUUAUCACCUUUUGAAUUUACUAGGUGUUCAGUGUUUAAUUGAUACGUAGGUCAAUAAAAUUUCUACCGAUGCAUGUGAUCUUGGAUAAUUCAUUGAUGUCUCUGAGUACUGGGGUCUCUUAUAAAAUGGACAGGCUAAACAAGAUUGUCUUUCAACUCUUAAGGUUCUGUGAUAUCUUUCAGCUCUUUGUGGUUCAAGAUGUAACAUCCAUGGGAAGAAAGACCCACAAUAGAUGGUUUGGCUCUUCUGGGAAAAUACAAAAUUAACAAUCAUUUCAACAGAAUUUUUAGCAUCCCUAAACAAUCAAGUAUGCCAAACAGUAUUUAUGCAUGAGCAAAGGCCUGUCUUGUCACUGCGGGCAGUUAAGGUCAUUAUCUUCAAGUGGUAUUAAUAUCAUCACAGAGAGAACUGCUGCUUUUGGUCUUUUCUAAGCGAUUUAAAUCAUCCUAGUGGGGUUUAUAAUUCUACUUCAAAAAACGACUCACAAUAAGAUAAAGUUCAGAGGCUCCAAAAUUACCAUAAGAGAGGAGAAAGGAAUGUGUAGCAAAUCCACAAGUUAAUGAGGUGCCUGAUGUGGGUAUUAUUUGCUAAGAAAAACGGUCUCCAUGAAUGAUGCUGAUUCUGAACUUCAGUGGAAUGAGGAGAGUCCUGCAGCUAAUCCCCCAGAGGACCCGCUGACGAGCCUCACCUGUGCACUGCAGUUUCUCUUCCAGCUGCGGUUGUUUAUGUUCUCUGCCCAGCUCUCUCCCCAGGCUCUUCCUAGGUACAGAUCUUCCUUAUGCUCCCUGUCCUGCAACAACUCUUUUAUUGGUAUUUUUUUAUAUUGCUAAGGACUGUGGGAAGUAAUAUGUGAAUUGACAAAAGUUACAAAUCUUGGAGAAAGAAUCUCAAAAUACACUGAUAUGCUUGUCUUUAGAAUUUCCUUAACUGUAAACAGGGCUGGUGGCCUUCUUUGCAGACUCCUUCCAUGGAUGUUACCUAUUUUUUUUUCUUUGUGUGUGUGUAUGUUUUUUUUUUUUUUGUCAGUUCUGUUUAUGUUGAGCACUAGCUUAGCAUAUUCAGAAGCCAACCUAGGGUCAAUGAGUCUGGUGCUCUUAGUACCUGGACUAUGUUUUUUUUUUUCUGUUUUUCUUUCUGAUAUCCCUUCAUUAAUGUGUGUGUGUGUGUGUGUGUGUGUAUAUAUGAAUGAUAGAACCAUGAACCUGUGGGCACCUUACCACUGAGAUACAUCCCCAGCCCUUUUUAUUUUUAUUUUGAGACAGGGUCUCAUUAACUUUCUGAGAGUCUCACUAAGUUGUCAAGGCUAGUCUCAAACUUGAGAUACUCCUGCCUCAGCCUCCUGAGUUGCUGGGAUUUUAGUCAUGCACCACCACAACUCCUGGCUCCUUCACUAACCUUUGAGCUAAUUUCCUUUGGUGACAUUUAGUAUGAAUGGCAUGUCCAAAGGUGAGGUGACCUUUAUAUUUGGGUUGAUUUUUUGGCUUAUUAUUAUCUCUUUUAGCCUUUAUUCUUGGAAAUGCCAAAUUCUUUCUUUCUGGUUCCUAGUUCUCAUUGGUGCAGAUUAAAGUGCUCUAUAAAUCAGUAGAACUUCAGAUGCGUGGUUCUUUCUGGUGGUGUGCUGGAAAAUGUCCAAACUAGCUCUUAGAAGAAGGAAAAUCUGACUUGUAACAUUUGCUAGUUUCUAUGGUGUAAAUACUCCCACUGUGGUUGAUGGGAAACCUCACAUGAUGCCACUGAACUGCAGUUGGGAAGAAGCACACAUGAUAGCUCUCACUAGCUGGCUCUAGCACCUCGGUAAUCAAGGUCUUAAAUUUAAGUAAUGUAAUGGUGUGACUCACUACAUGGAAAAAAGCAACUGUAUUCCUUCUCAUCAAUGCUUUUAUAAAGUCAAUUUGUUAUUUCCUCCUCUCAUCCUUCGAUGAAAUCCCAGGAAGAUCUCAUGGUUUCUCUAGUGAGUUUUUAACAUGAAAACAUCCAUUCAAAUCUAAUACACUGCUCAUUCAAGUUAAAACUUCUUCCCUAUUCCAGUUUGCACUUGCUCUAAUCUGUCAAUCUGCUAUCAAGUGGAACACCACGCACAGUUACCAAUGAUCCCAACCACUUGGAAAAUAGCAAAGGUCAGCACUAUGCCAACCUCCCGCAGUAGAUGUUCCUAAACUUUGGCCCACUACUGAGUCUGGGUAUCAGAAUUGCUAAGGAAAUCAUAACACAGUCAAGCACAAAUGAAAAAGCCAUUUGACUCGGAGAAAAGACAUCAGCUCCAAAAACGCAUUGGUCUCAUUGCUAGUGGGUCCCUAGCAGCAGAUAUAGAACGAGUGGACUUCAUAUACCCCUUGUCAUUGCACUAGAAGGACCCUCACCUUCCCCGUGGAGUUUGAAAUACUGAAAGCUGGGCAUGUGUCUGAGGGCCAUUGACAUACCUCCUUCAGGUGAACAAAGGAGUAUACAUUGAGCUUGAAAGGAGGAAAGAUACCCCACACAUGGGAUAAGCUCUGCAGACUGGUGGGCUCUUCAUCUCUUAGUAAGUGUUUUAGUCAACUUUUUUGCUGCUAUGACCAAAAGACCUGAGAAGAACAAUGUAGAGAAGGAAAAGUUUAUUUGGGCCUAACUGUUUCAGAGGUCUCAGUCCAUAGAAGGCGGACUCCAUAGCUUUAGAUCUGAGGCGAGGAAGAGCAGUAUGGCUGAAGGACGUGGCAGAGGAGACCAUCUCAAGAAAUGGCAACAAGGAAUCAGGGAGAGCUCUGCUUAUUAGGGACAAAAUAUAAACCGCAAAGACAUGUACACAGUGACCCACCUCCUACAGCCACACCCUCCAUGGCUGCUGUUACUGUUAAGGUGCGAUUCUAAAAUUUCAAAUGAGAAAUUGAAGAAAAGACAAAGGGUUUAUUCUGGCCAGGGCCAAGGGAGCAGAAAGCAGACAGUUCUGCAGUCCAAGACAGUGAAUGCAGGUGGAGGGGCCAUUGAAACAGGAAAACAACAAAGGAGCCAGUGGGAGAGGCAAGCACCACCAUAAGUUGUAACAGUGGAAAGUACCAACUAACAGAACAUUCUUAGAAUUCACAUUUCUUGUAUCUGCUCAGAACAGCUCCAGAGUUUAAAGACAUUGUGGUCAGGGUGCAAAUGAGUGAGGGUGUCAGCUCCUAUGCAAGUGGGCUCAUGAGGAAAGGGGAGUGUGCAAUUCUGUGCUGUUGAGAUGUCUGAGCAGAAUGGAGUCAGCCUGACUUAACUUUCAACUCAGACCAUAAUGUAACCCCUAGUUAAUCCAUUAUUAACACACUGAUUAGGUUAAGGCUCUCGUAACCCAAUCGUUUCACCUCUAAUCUAUCUUUCAUUGUCUCACUCAUGAGAUUUGGGGACACCUCAUAUCUAAACCAUAACAGCAAGGAAGUAUUCUAGACCCAAGGCCCAUUCUUAUUGGGCCAAGCAUUGAGAUUGCCUCUCUUCAUGUCCCUUACUUGUGAUGGUUCAACUUAAUGAUUCUUUACUACACUGGUGUGAAAGCAAUACACAUUCAGUAGAAACUGUGCUUGAAUUUUGAAUUUCGGUACUUUCCUGGGAGGGCACUACGUAGUGCAAUAUUUUCUCAUGAUGUUGGAGAGGAGCAAUGAGCUGCAGCUCCCAACUCAGUCCAUAAUCAGGAGGGGAAACAACUGAUACUCUGUAGUGUAGUUGUGUCAUUAAGCUAUGAUAUUUGGUAGGUUUGGCUGAGUGCAUUUUCCACUUACAACACUUUCAAUUUUCAAUGGUGUUAUUGGCAUAUAAAAUCUGUAGCUAUAGAGGGCACUGGCAGGUGGGAGGGAAGGUCAUUUUCCUGCUUCCUCUUCUUAUAGCAUAUUUCAUAGCUUCUUUGGAGAUGCCUGACCUAGGACUUCCAGUUCCAGUGAUUUGGCAAGGAGAUUCCUCUAACAGCUGUUUCUUACUACCCCCACCCCAUCCAAUAUCCUAGGUCUCAAUGCCCAUAUCUAGUUUCUUUAUUCACUUUUGUCUUGCUCAACAUCAGACAUCAUGGCUGACUACCAGUAAGAUCCUUCUUUCUGUCUUUGCCUUCCAGCAGCCAGCUACAAUUAGUCUCUCCCCUUUAGACUUUUGAGUGUAACUAGUAUCUUCCCUGACAUUUAAGGAACACAUGUCCCCUGAAUGGGUCCCUCAAAGUCACUUUUCCUUCACUAUAAGUGAGGAAGUUAAGUGCUACCACCUGGAAUGUUUGCAGCAUUCCUUAGUGUCCACUAUCUUUAAUCUCCUUGUGAGGGUCACCUUUCAAAGAUGUCUUCCCUUUGAACUAAUAAUUCCAUCCCUGGGAAUCAAUCCUGAGAACCUAGUUCCUAAUAAUAGAAAAGCUUUCUGCUCAAAGAUAUUCUUUUCAUCCCCUUUUAGCUUUCUCUAUUAUGACCUGGCAGGGGAGAGACUGGCAAAACCUGCUAGAACUGGUUUAAGCCUCACUUAUUUUGGAAACCUUAUGUGGAUGUCACUCUGCAAUUACAAGGGUACUUGGUAGGUGAUGUUCUCCUUCUACAGCCUCAGGUGAAAUUGUGAGAUUGGAAGGGUUACAUUUUAAUAUUCUGCUACAUAUCUGGAUCCACCAAUGAGUUCUUCAUUAAGUUUGUAUUCCCUGUGUUCCUUUACUUGACCAGACUAACACCCUUUGAUGACUUGUUGUAUUUCACAAUUAUUUUCCAGUAGCAGCCUUCUGUAGUGCAUCAGCCUUCUGUAGUGCAUACCACAUAUAUUGGCUUUUGGAUGUAGGUAAAAAUGUCUCUGCACAAUCCCAUCUUUUCCCCAUUUUUUGGCCCAUAUCCUAGGGUUGCCAAAAUAAAUUUUUGUUGUUGUUGUAAAUUAACUCUGAUAUUGAGAUUAUUAAAAUGAAUUCUGACAUAGUGGGUUAUAACCAUGUAUAUUUUAUAUAUGUCAGAAUUCAUAAUAAAUUAAAACAAGAAUAUUUUCUACAGACCCCAUCCUAAAUAUAAACAUAAUAAGGAUGUGAAUGUGUUAAGGACGUCUAUGAAAUUGUACUUUUGAUUUUAGGAAUUCAUAUGGUUCCAACAAAUGGCAUUUUAUAUGUAAUAUCACAAAUGAAUUUCAUUUUAAGCACUUUUUAUAUACGGAACUUGUGAAGUACAAAAGAAUCUUUAAUUUUAUACCAGGACACUUCACAUUUUAGGGAGAAUUAUCACUGAUUUUACUUGAAAUUAUUUGUCUUUUGAGAACAUUGAAAAAUUCAGUUAUCUUUAGAUUAAUUAACUUGUAAGCUCUGGAUUAUAUAUCUAUCAAUACAGAAUGUUCAGUCAAUUUGGUGCUAUUUUAAACCUUUGUAACAGUGUUAUAAAUCUAUGAAGGAAUGAAACAAAUGAUAGUAUUAGACACUUCAAAUAUAUUGGGAUUAUAUUAUGCAAACAUAUUAAGUACAUCAUACUUAAAUGAUGUUUAUUUAUAUAUUACAUAUGGGUUACAUUGUAAUGUAUUUUUAUUAGAAAGCUUAAAUAAACCCAUGAAAAACUAUUUAACUUUUAAAACAUUAAAUUAUGGAGCUGAAUGUACAUUAAACAAAAUAUUUGAAUAGCUUUUCUCAGUACUCCUAUUAACUACCAUGAUUAUACAAUAUAAUAAAAUAGAAAGUAUAUGAACAUAAAAACAAAUCUAAAAUUAUUAGAAAUAACCUGAAAACUAAAUAAGCAGGACUCACAUUAAAAAAAUAACAUUAGCAAAUGACCUAAAAUAAAAGCUUACCAAAUAAAAGACAUUAGUCAUUUGUUGCAUUAAAUAUCAUAAAAUUAUUAAUUUGUCUGGAUUUGUCAUUUUAAUAUAAUUAUUCAAAGUUCUAGUGGGAUUCUUUUGACAGAAACUUUUUAAAAAAGUAAUAAAGGGCUGGGGAUGUGGCUCAAGUGGUAGCCCGCUUGCCUGGUAUGCGCAGUCACUGGGUUAGAUCCUCAGCAUCACAUACAAAUAAAAUAAAGAUGUUGUGUCCACUGAAAACUAAAAAAAUAAAUAUUAAAAAAUUCUCUCUUUCUUUCUCUCUCUCUCUCUCUCUAUAAAAAAGUAAUAAAACUUUGUUAAAAUAGUAAUUUUUUUCCUAAAAAUAUAUUAAUGAAGAGCUGUAUUACACGUUAGGAAGUGUCAUGAAGCUAGGGGAGUGCAACAGGUUGGUCACUGGAACAGACAGCUCAGAUGCACUCUGUAUGUGCCCACUUCCAUGUGUGCUAGAGGGGGACCAUAGCAAACGGUUAUAGGAAGUAGUAUAUAAUAAGAGGCACUGGGACAACCGGCUGUUUAUUAAAAAUAUACCUUUGGAUUCUUAUCAUAAUCCCCCCAAAAUCUAUGAGAACAAAAUAAAUUAAUGUAAAAGGCAUAUAUUUUCAAAAGUAUAGAAGAAAAUGAUCCAAUCUCUAGAUGGGGAAAGAAUUAUGAAACUUAAAAACAGUAAUGAGAGAUAGGGGUCACGUUUCAGUCUUCUGUGCAUGGAUAUCCAGUUUUUGCAGCACAGUUUAUGGAAGUGAUUGUCCUUUCUCCAAUGUAUGUUUUUGUUGAGAAUCACUUGGCUGUAAAAGCCUGGGUUUAUUUCUGGAAUCUCCAUUCUGUUCCAUUGGCUCAUUUGUCUGUUUUUAUGCAGAUAACAUGCUGUCUCUGGAGUAUGUCUUGAAAUCAGGCACUGGGGUGCGUCCAGCUUCACUCUUUUGUUCAAGUUUGCUUUGGCUAUGUGGUUUUGGUGCUGUUUUAUUAUUUUUUUUUUUUGGCUUACAUAUGAAUUUUAGGAUUUUUUUCUUGUUCUGUGAAGAAUGACUUUGGCAUUUUGGUGAAGAUUACACUGAAUCUGUAGAUUGCUUUGAGUAGUAUGGACAUUUUUAACAAUAUUAAUUCUUCCAGUCCAUGAACAUGGGAGAUCUUUCUGUCUUUUAGUGUCUCCAAUUUCUUUCAUUAGUGUUUUGUAAUUUUUAUUUCAGAGGUCUCUCACUUUCUCAAUAAAGCUUAUUCCUAGGUUUGGUAUGUUUGCUUUCUUGUUUAUUUAUUUAUUUUGUAGCUAUUGUCAAAGGGCUUGGUUUUACAAUUUCUUUCUUACAAACUUGUUAUUUCUGAAUAGAAAAGCUGCUGAUUUUUGCGUGUUGAUUUUGUAUGUGGUAUUUUAUUGAAUUUAUUAUUUCUAGUCUGUUGGCAUCCUUAGGUUUUUCUCUAUUUAGAAUCAUAUCAUCUUCAAAUAGAGAUAAUUUGAUUCCUGCCAUUCCUAUUUGUAUGCCUAUUAUUCUUUCUCUUGCUUAAUUGCUCUGGCUAAAACUCCCAGUACUGUAAGAAUGGUGCAUAUGUCAAAGGACUAAGUGUAAGACCUGACACUGAAACUAUUUGAAGAAAACAUAGGGAACACUUUAAGACUUUGGUAAAGGCAACGAUUUCUGGAUAGAACCCCCAAACACAGGAAACAAAAUCCAAUCCACAACAGAUGUGAUUAUUUCAAACUAAAAACAUCUGCACAACAAAGGAAGGAGUCACAGAGUGAAAAGACAACUAUAAGAUGGGAGAAAGUAUUUGCCAACUCUUCAUUCUACCAAGGGACAAUAUCCAGAGUAUAUAAGGACCCCAAAAAACUGAACAACAAAAACAAAACAAGUAAUCCAGUUAAAAAAAAUGGACAAAUGAGCUGAAUAGAUACUUCUCAAAAGAAAAACACAAACGGCCAGUAAAUGUAUGAAUAAGUGCUCAAUAUAGUUAACCAUUUGGAAGAUGAAAAUAAAAAUUAUAAUGAGACACCAUCUUACCCUAGUUAUCAUGAAGUUAUUAAAAAGUUAUUACAAAAAGAAAACAAAGAUUCUAGAGACAUUUGACCUACCCCAAUUGAAUCAGGAGGACAUACACAAUUUAAAUAGAUCAAUCUCAAGCAAUGAAAUCAAAGACGCCAUUAAAACCCUACCAACUAAGAAAAGCCCAGGACCAGACAGAUUCUCAGCUGAAAGAUUCUACAAGACCUUCAAAGGAAAAUUAACACCAAUACUUCUCAAAUUAUACCAUAGAAAUAGAAAAAUGAGGGAACACUUUCAAACUCAUUCUAUGAGGCUAAUAUUACCCUGAUACCAACACCAGACAAAGACACAUAAAGGAAAGAAAACUUCAGACCAAUAUCCCUGAUGAAUAUAGAUGCAAAAAUUCUCAAUAAAAUUCUGGUAAAUUACAUACAAAAAUAUAUUAAAAAGAUAGUGCUUUACGAAUGCAUUUGAUUUAUGGGUAUUAAUUUUAUAUCCUACAAAUUUGCUGAAUUCAUUUAUUACUUCUAGAAGUGCAAGGGUGGUUCAACAUAUGGAAAUCAAUAAAUGUAAUCCGUCACAUCCAUAGACUCAAAGAAAAGAUUGAGAUAUGAUCAUCUCAAUAGAUGCAGAAAAAACAUUUGACGAAAUACAGUGCUCCUUCAAGUUCAAAACACUAGAAAAACUAGGGAUACCUCAACACUUUAAAAGCAACCUAUGCUAAACCUAAGAACAACAUCAUUCUUUUUUUUUUUAUUGGUUGUUCAAAACAUUACAAAGCUCUUGACAUAUCAUAUUUAGAACAACAUCAUUCUAAAUGGAGAAAAAUCUGAAGCAUUCCUUCUAAGAACUGGAACAAAACAAGGAUGCCCUGUUUCACUACUUUUAUUCAAUAUUGUCCUUGAAACUCUACCCAAAACAAUUAGAUGGAAGAAAGAAAUUAAAAGAAUAUAAAUAGGAAAAGAAGAAGUCAAUCUAUAACUAUUUGCUGAUGACAUGAUUCUAUAUUUAGAAGAUCCAAAAAGUUCCACCAGAAAACUUCUAGAACUAAUAAAUGAAUUCAGCAAAUUUGUAGGAUUUAAAGUCAACACCCAUAAAUCAAAUGCAUUCCUAUACAACUGUGAUGAAUCAACUGAAAGAGAAAUUAGAAAAACUACCCCAUUCAAAAUUGCCUCCAAAAAAUAAAAUACUUGGGAAUCAAUCUAGCAAGAAGUGAAAGACCUCUACAAUGAAAACUACAGAACACUAAAGAAAGAAACUGAAGAUGGGAAUAUCUCCCAUGCUCUUGGGUAAGCAGAAUUAACAUUGACAACAUGGCCGUACUACCAAAAGCAUUAUACUGAUUCAAUACAAUCCCUACUGAAAUCCCAAUGACAUUUUUCAUAGGAAUAGAAAAAGCAAUCAUGAAAUUCAUUUGGAAAAAUAAGAGACGCAGAAUAGUCAAAGCAAUCCUUAGCAGGAAAAGUAAAAUAGGAGGCAUCACAAUACCAGACCUUAAAUUAUACUACAGAGUCAUAGUAACAAAAAAUGGCAUGGUAUUGGCACCAAAACAGAUAUGUAGACCAAUGGCACAGAAGAGAGGACACAGACAAACCCACAUAAAUGCAAUUAUCUCAUACUGGACAAAGGCGCCAAAAUCAUACAAUGGAGAAAAGAUAGCCUCUUUAAUGAAUGGUGCUGGGGAAAUUGGACAUCCAUAUGUAGCAAAAUGAAAUUAAACGCUCUGCACAAAAAUUAACUCAAAGUGGAUCAAGGACUUAGGCACUAGACCAGGGACCUUGUGCCUAAUAGAAGAAAAGAGUAGACCAAAUCUCCACCAUGUUGGCUUCCUUAACAAGACUCUUAAAGCACAAGAAGUAAAAUUAAGAAUCAAUAAAUGGGAUGGAAUCAAACUAAAAAGCUUCUUCUCAACAAAGGAAUUGAUCAAUAAUAACAUGAAGAGAGAACCUACAGAAUAAGAGAAAAUCUUUACUACACACACCUCAGAGCAUUAAUCUCCAGCAUAUAUAAAGAAUUCAAAAACUUAACACCAAAAAAUAAAUAAUCCAAUCAAUCAAUGGGCUAGAAAACACUAGAAAAACUAGGGAUACUUCAACAUUUUAAAAGCAACUGAACAGACACUUCACAUCAGAAGAAAUAUAAUUGAUCAACAAAUACAUGAAAAAAAAUUCAACAUCUCUAGUAAUUAGAGAAAUGCAAAUCAAAACAACACUGAGAUUUCAUCUCAUUCCAGUUAGAAUGACAGUUAUCAAGAAUACAAGUAACAAUAAAUGUUGGCCAGGAUGUGGGGACAAAUGUACACUCAUACAUUGCUGGUGGGACUGCUAAUUGGUGCAACCAUUCUGGAAAGCAGUAUGGAGAUUCCUCAGAAAACUUUGAAUGGAACCACCAUUUGAUCCAGUCAUUCCACUCCUAGGAUUUUACCCAAAGGAUUUAAAAUCAGUACACUACAGUGAUGCAGCCAUAUCAAUGUUUAUAACAGCUCAAUUCACAAUAGCUAAGCUGUGGAACCAACCUAGGUGCCCUUCAACAGAUAAAUAGAUAAAGAAAUUUGGUAUGUAAACACGAUGGAAUAUUACUUAACCUUAAAAAGAAUAAUAUUAUGGCAUUUGCUGGUAAAUGGAUGGAACUGGAGAAUGUUAUGCUAAGCAAAAUAAGCCAGUCCCCCCAAACCAAAGGUCAAAUGUUUUUUUCUGAUAUAUGGAUAUGAAUUCACAAAUAUUGGGGGUGGGGAGAAUAGAAGUACUUUGGAUUAGACAGAAGGGAGUGAAGAUAGGGUAGGAGGUAUGGGGGUAGGAAUGAUAGGGUAAUAAUGUUUGAUUUAUUCUACUAUGUGCAUAUGUGAAUAUAUCCUUUGUAACUCUAUAUCAUGUACAACCAGAAGAAUGAGACAUUAUACUUCAUUUAUGUAUGAUAUGUCAAAAUGCAUUCUACUGUUAUGUCUAAUUAAUUAGAACAAAUUUUAAAAAGUUAAAAAAAAAAGGGGCUGGGGAUGUGGCUCAAGUGGUGGCACGCUCGCCUGGCAUGCGUGUGGCCUGGGUUCGAUCCUCAGCACCACAUACAAACAAAGAUGUUGUGUCCGCCGAAAAAAAAAAAAACCUAAAAAAUAAAUAUUAAAAAAUUCUCUCUCUCUCUCUAAAAAAAUAAAAAGUUAAAAAAAAGAAAAGAAACAAAAAUUCUGAUGAGGAUAUGGGAAAAAAAAGAACUCUCAUACACUGUUGGUAGAAAUAGAAAUUAUAGCAUUAUGGAGAACAGUAUGUUGAUUCCUCAAAAACCUCAAAGCAGAUCUACCCUAUGAUCCCAUUGUCUUCCUUUUGGGUCUAUAUUCAAAGGAAAUGAAGUCAGCAUAUCAAAGAGAUACCUGGCCACCCAUGCUUAUUGUAGCACCAUUCACAGUAACUUAUUGUAGUGCCCAUCAACAGACAAAUAGAUGAAGAAAAUGUAGCAUUCAUAUACUAUAGAAUAUUAUUUAGCUACAAAGAAGAAUGAAAUCCUGUCGUUUACAGCAAAAUGCAUAGAACUGGAAGACCAUAUAUAAAGUGACAUAAGUAAGACACAAAAAGACAAGUAGUUCACGUUUUCUCUCAUGUGGAAGCUAAAUUAAGACAUCUUGAAAGUAGCUUAGUGAUUACUAGAUUGGGAAGGAUGGCGGGAGGGUGAAAAAGGGAGGUUAAUCAGUGUACACUGUAUACAUGCAUGGGGAUAUCACACUGAAUCUCUUUAAUAUGUUAAUAAACACACGUAAGUGAAGAAUUUGCUUAAAAAGUAAUGAAGAGAAUAAUAAUGGUAAAGUGUUAAUAAUACAAGAAUAAAACCUUAAGCCUGUGGAAAAAAAAAACAAAGGGCAAGUAUUUUGGAAAUUUUUUGUAUCAUCUAUGAGUCAGGUUCAUUUUCUUUAUUAAAAAAAACAUUGAAGUCAGUAGUAAUAGGCAUUUUACCAUGGAAGAGGAUAUGCAAAAGUCAUUAUCAGAAAAUCAUAAAAGAUGAACAAAAACAAGUAAGUGAACAUACGGAAACAUUUUCAACACCAUUGUCAUCAAAGACUUACAAAUUAAGAUGAUAAUAAAAUGUUAUUUCUUCCCAGUAAAUUAACAAACCUAAUUUGGUUUUAAUGAGACCACUUGCUCCCAGUGAGGUAAGGGUAGGAUGGAAUGAAGAUAUCCAUACAUUGUAAGGGUAGGCAGAUUUUGCAAAUCUUUUGGGAAAAUAUUUGGUAACAUACCAAAAACCUUUGAAUAUUUCUUUUUCUUGAACUAAUGACUCCAUUCUUGUCACUCAACCUCAAAGAAUUAAGCCCAAAUUAUGAGAAAGCAUUCUACUUAAAUUCUUUUAGUGAAAUAAUUUCAACAUGCCACGUAAUAAAAUAAUUAAAUGAAGUCAGUUACCACCAAUGAGAUAUUACAUAGUUGUCUUAAAAUGCUAUUACAAGCAAAGUACAAGUGUAAUUGUUGUCUGAAGUUUAAAAUAUGUCAGAAGUACUUUUACUACUUUUUCUGUUACAAAAUAUUUUCAGUCUCUUGAAAUUCAAAUAUUUCUAAAAAGUUCUAAAAGACCUGCAAAGAAUAAAUAAAGACAAAGUGAAAAUAAUUAAAUUGCUUUUGCAAAUGUUAUAGUAGGAGUAAUGUUGAUGUUAUAAUAUUUAGAAAGUAAGGCACUUUACAUAUAUGUGUGAAUCUGAAUGUAUACAAGUUCCAUAAUUUUAAAGAAUGAUCACAAUUAUGUAAAAACAAAAAGUAAAAAAAAAGGAUAAAAAACCCCCAAAUUCUAUUUAGAUAAGUGAAAAAAGAAAAUGAAUUCAUUGAUAUCAUUUUGCUGAGUGGGGGUACAGUUUUUUUCUUUCCAUUUUGUUGUUGUUGUUGUUAUUUUCCAUAGUGAGCAUGUAUCACUUUUAGAAUGGACUUUGUUUUCAAAGUUUUGAAAAGUAGUACACCCACACAUAAUGUUCUCCUCUAUUGAUUUACAUACAUGUGUGAUUUUAUUAAGCAGAAAUCCAUUAGCACAAAACUCACUUCCUAUUACGGUUGUGACUUCAGGCAGUUAUUAAGAAUCCUUCCCGCCUUAAAGAAUAUAAACCUAUUUCUUUAGUUCUGCAGCUUGAGUUAAAAGGUGGAGUAAGUGCUAACAUUUCGUUUUUAAGAAAGAACAUCAAUUUCUGUACAGGCUCUCUACCCAGCACUGAAAAUGUCACUGGGAAAUUGUAGUCCUUAACCGAAAAGCUUAAAAUCUAAAUUAUAUGGAUGAAUCAGUUUGGGCUCAUGAAUAAUAUGAAAAGUUCUUUUAAUCGUAAAAAGACCUGGACAAUGAAAUGAAUCACUUUGUGGUUGGCAAUUUCUGCAGAAGAUGAGAUUCUCCCCCCGAGAAAAAUUUGAAAGAAUGAAUGUUGUAGUUGGAAAUCAUUCCAACCAUGUGGGAAAGAAAUAGAGCUCUAAAUAGGAUGAAGAAAGGAGUUAGCAAUUAGAAGAUAGAGCCACAGACCAAAGGCAACAACAGAGACUGGAAAAACAUCAACAGGGAUUAAACAUGGGAAUCUGUAAACAUUCUCUGAAGGCCAUUACAAGCACAGAAAGACCUUACGCUCCAUAGUGGAUGGACCCAUGUGAUUUUCAGACAUCUGAAAAUGGACUGUGAAAAGAAUUAUCAGUGCCUUUGGAUGUAAAUAACUUUUUGCUACCAUUUCAAAAAUAGCAUGAAUAAUUAUUAGCAAUAAUGAGUAAUAAUCUUAAAAUCCUCCAAAUCUAGUCAUUCUACCUGAAAAAUAUGGUUUUCACAACAGGUACCAAAUACUUACACAUUGGAGCAAGGUAAGGAGUGAAAAUAUAGUCAGUAAAAUCUAUUAAUUGUCUAUUGAGUACUAAGCAUUUAUAGGCAUCAUUAUAAUAUUGAAUCUUCACAGAAAUAUUACUGCUAGUUAUUGCAAUCACCCUUUUAAUCAAUGAAAAACAAAUGAGGCUGAGAUAUGAAAAGAGAAUUGGAGCUCAUGUUUAUUUGACCUCAGAGUAUAUGUUCAUUCCAUUAUCUCUUUGGCAAGAUGUGAAAAAAAUUUUAAUAUGACUCUUGGUGUUGUUCAUUUUGUAAUAUUGUCAUCCAAAGAAGCUGUAACAGUUUACAACAUUAUUUUCUUUCUUCCUUUUUUUUUUGCAGGGUGAAGGGGGUGCUGGGGUCAAAGCCAAGGGUGCACUGAGCUUCAUCCCUAGUCCUUUUUAUUUUUUAUUUUGAAACAAGGUCUUGCCAAAUUGUGGGUGCAUGCUUGUAUUUCAAGUUUGCUUCAAUAUGAAUAUGUUUGAUGCUUAGUAAGAAUAAAAAGAUUUUUGUUUGCUCUCAAAUUGUUAUCUAAUUUCAAUUUUAGGGCUAGGGCAUUGUGGCCAUUCUUAUAAAUUUUAAUAAGAAAGUAUAUGUUGUAGAAGUAAAUGUUAAAUAUAGUUGAUUCCAAAUAUAAGUCCUGGUCUACUGAUUUUAUUUUCUAUUAAACUUUUUAAGUAAAGUUUUAAAAUCUUACAAUAUAAAGUUUUUUAUCUUUCCUUGUGUUGUUACUUGAUACUUUACGCUUGAGAAAUCAUCAUUCCUCUGUAGAUACAACAUUUCAUCAUUCUAAUUGUUAAGAAUUUGUUAAAAAUAAUUCUUUAAUGGACCUUAAAUUUAUUUCAGGGGAAGAUAUAAAGAUCUAAAUUAGAUGCUUUUAAAAUUGGUAUCCUUUAUCAACAUAAUAUAUUAAUAACCUUUCUUUUAACCACAGCUUCAAAAGUUUACUUUCCUAAAUAUUGUUUUUACAAAGCUUCUGUAAUUUCUGAUUGUUGUAUUCUGCUCUGUCAAUCUUUUUCUAUAUUUUACAAUAGAAGUAAACUUUUUAUAAUUGUUGUUUUACAGUAUGUUUUAAUACCUAAUAAAAUUUAAUUCUCCUAAGGUAGUACUUUACUUUUCCCAUAUUUUAUAAACCAGUGAUGCUCCUUUUUUCAAUAUUUCUGUACUAUUCCAAUUAUUCUAAAUGUUCUUCGAAAAUCCCUUUUAGAAAUACGUUGUUAUCCUCUCAUUCCUCUGUACUUGGAAUUUGAAUGGGAUUAUUAUACUUCUAUAAAUUGACUUUGAUAUAAUAUUGAUGUAUGAAGUUCUAAAUUGUAACUCUUCAUUUAUUAAGGAUUUUCUUUGUUUCCUACUUAUCCUUUCUCAGGAUAAAAGUUCUGUUUAGUUUUUCAUUAAGCUUGUUCAUGAAUAUUUUUUAAUUUUAUUAUUAUUGAGAAUAGGUUUAUUUUAUUAUUUUCAUUUAACUGCAUUUUACUAAGACUUCUAUGAAUUUUUUGGAUAUACUCCCUUUCCUUUUCACUGUUAUUUUAUUACCUCUAAUUAGUAAUUUAUCUUUAAUGGCAGAUUCAUUUGGCUUUUUUAGCUAUGCAAUUAUUCUCAUUACAGAUAAUGAUUUUCAGUUCCCAGUAUUAUUUUUAUCUUACUUGAAUCUUAAUAAUACUUAUUAUUAUAAUUAUAUUAGAGAAACAAUUGUAGAAGAGACAUCAAUUAAUUUGUCUUUUCUGUCCAACUUCCCUUUUUAACUGUUCUGCUUUGCAGAUCUGGAAGUUCUGCUUGGUAGCUAAGCACUAUAUGAAUGCUGCCCAGAUAGAGCUGAUUGGAUUGAAAAAAAUGGGCACAUGACUCAGGAAAAACCAAUCCAUUGGCUGGUCAGUAAUCAGACUAGGAAUCAGAUGUUGUUGGACUGCUGUGUAAGGUCAUGUAUUAUUGAAGCUGUGGUUCACACACACAUCACACAAAAUUUAAGAGAAAAGGAGAGACAGCCACCUCUCAACAUGUGGGGAAGCUGCUUUCCUUUUAGGUUUUAGAUUCUAAUAUAACAAAUCCUCCUUUUGUGAGGUUUCUGGUUUUAAUAGGUUUCUGUUUCUCAUAACCCAAAGUCAUCCAACCAAAUAAUAUUGAUAAUGGGUAUUUGUAUAGUUUUCUGGUGUUUAAAGAGAGAGCCACAUGUGUUCUAACUUCUGUUUCAAUAGACACAAUUAUGGUAAUAUUUUUAUUACUUUAAAAAUGUUUUUAUUGAGUAUUGAAUUUUGUUAGACAUACAUGGGGCAUCUGUUGAAAAGAUCAUAAGCAAUUUUUUCUUAUUUAAUUAUAUAUUGUAUAUUAUAUCUCUAUAGAUAACCAAAUAUAUCAAGCUGUAAACUCAGGUUUCCUGGUAUUUGGUCAAAUUAUCUUUUCAUAAUACAACACAAAAAUGAGAAUAGAUAAUAUAGACAAUAUAAAAAACCAGAGAUAAAAAUCUUUCUUAUAUUUUUCUUAGGGGGCACCACACAUUUAUUAAGAAAGAUGUAUUUAAUAUAUAUGUGUGUAUAUAUUAAGAUGUACAUGUUGAGUAGUAUUGCUGAGUAGCAUAAUGGCCCCUUUGAUCAUCCUAUCCCAAGGCCCUAAUUCUGUCAUGGUGUCUCAAUUUCCCCUCUUAUUAAAUCUCGUCUUUUUAUAAUUUAAAAAUAUGUUUCAGAUAAAUAAUUGCUUGCACCAUGGCAGGGCAAGGUAUGCUGAGGAGUAUUUUCCUUAUCCCUUAGGUUCAGUAUUGCUGCUGAGGCAUUGGGACUGGACACCUUCCCAGUGACACAAACAAUACAGUCCUACGACUCAGUGCAACCCUCUUUGUAAAUGUACUAAUGGUUGACAUUAUCACUUGUCAUCUCACUGAAUCUUUUCCCUCCAGCUUUUUAAUAUAAAAAAGAGAUGUAUGUGAACAACCUCUCAACUGGAGACAAUUCUCUUGGGAGCACAUUUCCUUUUGUAAGAACUUAAUUGAUAUUAUUCCAUCAUCAUCUGGCAUUCAUUAUUAUGGUGGAAAAUAUAAGGCUGGCAUGAUUUUUCUUUUUGUGUGUGAUUUGCACCAUCUCCUAGUUGUAAUUCUUCACUAUCAAUGUUUGAUAGUCUGGUAGAAGAGUAUUAAUAUUGAGGCUCUUCUGUCAUAAUCAUGAUAUGCUCCUUCUCUCUUAUGUGUAUAUUUUUCCUGUAUUAUAACUUGUGACAUAUUCUUUCUCUUUUUUGUUUUCAGCUUCAUUUCUUGGAUUCUCUAACCCAGGGACACCAAUUCUUUUUAGGAUGAAUUGUUUUUGUCUUUCAUAGAGCUUAGUUCCUUUCUAAAUUAUUGGCUUUUUUCCCCCUGUGUACACACUCACUGUCUUUAUUUUCCAUAUGUUAGUAAUUUUUAUUUUUUUUUUCAUUCAGAAAUGAUGUUGAUUUAAGCAUCCAUUUAUUGUCUUAGCUAUACAAUCUCCUAUGGAGAACAGUGACUUGGAUCAUGGUCUCUGACAGCCUGCGGCUGCACUUGUGCUGGGAACUUUCUGUGCAGGUCAAGAUUGCCCAGUUGCUAUGGUGAUACAUGCCUGAGGAAGCUCUGUGCAAAGGCACAGAACCAUAUCAGGCUGGACCCUAGGCUCAGACACCAGCUGCCAGGGAUAAAGUAUUCUGGGCAUAACAAAAUAACCACCAUAUCUUGCACAUGCCAUGACCUUCCAGCCUGUCUCCUUUGCAGAAACUUUCCCACAAAUAACCUUUUAAUGGUAAAAAUCUAUAUAAUAAACAUGCUGUACUAGCUCCAGAUCACUGUUCCUCCAUCAGAGGAUGAUGUCCCAUCUGUUCCCAGCUUCUUAUAAGUGUGUAUUUAUCUUUUAUUUUUAUUUUUUAUUUUUUUGGCACUAGGGAUUGAACUCAGGGGCACUCAAUCUGUAAGCCACAUCCUCAGCCCUUUUUGUAUUUUUAAUUUAGAGACAAGGUCUUGCUAAAUUGCUUAGAACCUCGCUAAAUUGCUUAGAACCUCGCUAAAUUGCUGAGGCUGGGUUUACACUGGUGAUCUUCCCGCCUCAGCUUCCCAAGCUGCUGGGAUUACAGGCAAGCGCCACCACAACUGGCUAUUUGUCUUUCUUAAUUCCAUAUCACCCCUCUCUGGUUUCUGAGGUUCAGCUGUGCAGGUUGCAACAAUCUCCCUUUUCAUUUCACUCUCUCUGUUUUGUCAUGUUACUAUAUAGACUUAAUUAUUAAAUUAUUUUAUAGCAUACUACAAUCAUGGAGGAAUUUCCUUCUGUUUAUUGAGUAAGUUUUGUUCAGGUUUAGUUUCUCAUCUUUUUGAUUUUUUGCUUCUUUUACUGUGCCUACCCUUUUGCUUUCACACAGUCCAAUAAACAUUCACUGUGUUUCUGUUCGGGUUUGGGGGUACUAGUAGAUGAAGAAUUUCAGGAUGUUGUCAACUUGCGGACUCUCUUAGGAUAGAACUGUGUCCAGGAGGAGGAAAUGGUCAGGAAUGUUGUGCUCAUUUCCUCUACACAGGAUUGCUCUAGCCACAUAACUUUCCUUCCAGUACUUUAAAAAAAUGUAUAUUCCUAGUUAAUCUUUUACCUUUUUGUUGGUUGUUUGAGCCCCCACACCCCCACCCCAACUUGCUUAGCUAUCAGGGGAGGGAAAUUCUAUGUUACAGCUUAAAUUUUAUUACAUUUACCCCUGUGAGAAGAGUAUAAGCAAAGUCACACUGUGGAGGGAUAAACACGUUCCAGGGUUGCUAUGUGAUAUGCCUGUGGACUUCUAAAUUAAUACGUGGAAGGACCAUAAAUCAAGCCCAUGUGUUUCCAUUUCAGGCCAUUGCUUUUUACAUGAGACUUUCCUAAACACAAAGCCAAUUAAUUUCUUAUUUGAACGGAUACACACACAUAAAUGUUAUUUCAAUGUGCUUGAUGUGUUUAAAGAUAUAUAAGAUGAAGGGACCUUUGGAAAAGAACUACAAGCUUACUUCUCUUUGUUCAUCAGACACACUCACAGAUAGCUGUGUGUAAAAUUAAGUCCUUGAGAUAAAAUAAGAUUUUGAGUUCAAAACUAGCCUCAGCAACAGCAAGGUGCUAAGCAACUCAGUGAGACCCUGUCUCUAAAUAAAUAAAAAAAAACAAAAAAACAACAACAAAAAACAGGGCUGGGGAUUCAGCUUAGUGGUUGAGUGCCCCUGAGUUCAAUUUCUGGUGACUCCCCACCCCCGCAAAAAAAAUUUAAAGCACAAAGCUGUUUGCUAUUUACAUAUAAAAUACUCCAAAUAUUAAGAAAAUGUGAACAUUAUGUUAAUAUGUAAGAUAUUCCCAAAAUUAAAUAUGCUUUUUUCUUUCUUUUUGUUUUUAGAGUAAAGCACAUCAAUAUCAGAAGCCAUCGCGAGGGUUUGUAAGGCCUCCCAUGGAAUGAUGUAAGCCAGAAUGAGGCAUCUUUGUUGGUGGUUUAUGGGAAGCUGAAGACUGGAGGAAUGCCCUUGACAACACCGAUAUGUUCUAGCUCUACGAUUCCGCUUUGAAGCCCGUUUUUCAAGUUUUUAGAUUUUCACUUCUUAGAGCAGCACUACUUUCCCUCCCACCUUUAUCCACAUAACUCAUGUGGAUUCCAGCUUAAAAGCUGUGCAAAACAAAACAAUCUUCCACAGCCAGGGUGCCUGACCGGCUGAAAAUUGUGUCCGUGUGGACAGAGAGCAUCCUGCUCCACGUGGUGGAGCACCACCCGUGCCUCAGUCUCUUUCAUUGUUGACAAACCACAGUGAUCAUUCUGCAUUAUGGAUUUAUUUCUGUUUCCCCAAAGUCACUUUCUGUAAACGUUUAUAUGUUUGUCUCUCACUUCUUCUGGGCACAGGGACAUUUAUUGGUAAGAGUAUGAUAAG
rnacentral:lncRNA from 1 species